rnacentral:tRNA from 1 species
GGUUGGGUACUCAAGUGGCUGAAGAGGCGCCUUUGCUAAGGGUGUAGACGUGUUAAAGCGUGCGAGGGUUCGAAUCCCUCUCCAACCA